rnacentral:rRNA from 1 species
GGUAUGAAUGGCUAAACGAGAAAUUGACUUUUUUUGUAAUAAAAAUUGAAUUUAAUUUUUUAGUGAAAAAGCUAAAAUUUUUCAGAAAGACGAGAAGACCCUAUAGAGUUUUAUGCUUUAAGUAUAUUUUUUUUAUUAGAUUUUAAGAUAAGUGUAUUUAAGAGCAUUUUGUUGGGGCGACAUUAAGAUAAAUAAAACUCUUUAUUUUUUUUAAUUUUUAUGUAAAAAUGGUUUGAUCCUUUAAAAAAGAUCAAAAGAAAAAAUUACCUUAGGGAUAACAGCGUAAUCUUUUUUGAGAGUUCUAAUCGACAAAAAGGUUUGCGACCU